rnacentral:rRNA from 1 species
GACGAACGCUGGCGGCGUGCUUAACACAUGCAAGUCGAACGCUGAAGCUCAGCUUGCUGGGUGGCUGAGUGGCGAACGGGUGAGUAACACGUGAGUAACCUGCCCUCUUCUUUGGGAUAACGCCCGGAAACGGGUGCUAAUACUGGAUAUUCACUGAUUCUCGCAUGGGGGUUGGUGGAAAGGUUUUUUCUGGUGGGGGAUGGGCUCGCGGCCUAUCAGCUUGUUGGUGGGGUGAUGGCCUACCAAGGCUUUGACGGGUAGCCGGCCUGAGAGGGUGACCGGUCACAUUGGGACUGAGAUACGGCCCAGACUCCUACGGGAGGCAGCAGUGGGGAAUAUUGCACAAUGGGCGAAAGCCUGAUGCAGCGACGCCGCGUGAGGGAUGGAGGCCUUCGGGUUGGAAACCUCUUUCGCUCAUGGUCAAGCCGCAGCUUUGGGUUGUGGUGAGGGUAGUGGGUAAAGAAGCGCCGGCUAACUACGUG